GGGCGGUAUAGUUUACAUAGGCUUCGGAGUCAGAUCCACUUGGGUCAGAAUCCUACCUUUUUUAUUCCCGUUAAGUAUGCGAUCUCCAGUAACGGGCAGAAGAGGAAGAGAAAAGAGUGGGUCCAACUGGAGAAUAAAAGCCCCGAGCCCAAUGCCGAUUGGACCACCUCCUACCAAUGCCUGCGGCCAAGGCAAUGCCAAGUGCUGAUUGGCUCAGGUCUGAGCUACCUGAACCAAUCACGGUGGAAAGCGGGGAGGGAGCAUCCUUACUGGCUUAGGCAGGAGGAGGAAGCUGCGGCGAGGCAACCAAGCUGUCAGCGUGCUGCGGCCUGGAGUGGCAGCAACCCGAUGGCCGCCUCUUGUGGGCAGGGCCGUGCCACGUCCCGUCCGGGCCAGGGGUUCCUUAGGACUGGAGGGAGUAGCCGUGGGGUCAUCUUGGCUUCCUCACUGGGCGCGGCAUGGGGCUCUGCCCUCCACCUGUGCCUUGACCCGUGUCCUCUGCGCCACCCGCCCCCCACCCCUACCCACACCCCCAGCCUGCAUCCCCAAGCCCGAGUCACACCAUGUUCCCAGCCUACACCUUUCUCCUGGGCUUGGGGAACAGCCCUAACGCUACAGUUUGGAGGCCAGAUGGUUUUUUGUUUUCUCCUUGGCAAAAGAUGAAUUCUCUCUUCUGAGAAAAUAAAAGGACUUAUUUUAAAAAAAUAAAAAAGAAGAAGAAGAAAGAAAGGGGGGAAAAACUCAUAAAAAUAAAAGCCCAAAUCCCAACUCCAGUAGGAAAUUUAGCUUAAAUAGCUCUUAACAAACUGGACUUGGAACAGUUCUACAAGAGGCGACCAGACGCAUCAGAAUUAAGUUUCUCGUAAAGGCAGAGCCGCAGGGAGAAUGGAAGCAGAGAUGUUCUCAAGGGAAAAGAUCUCUCCAGGCUUCUGGGGCAGAGAGUUUAGUUAUUGUCAGUACCCGUGGCUUAUUGAGAGCUUGCUGUGUGCUAAGUGCAUUACCUAUUAUCUCUCAUCCUCCCAAAGGCCUCUUUGUACAGAAGAGGAAACUGAGGCACAGGGAGGUGAGGUGGCUUGCCCCAGGUCAUGCUGUUGCCAAAAUGUGGGGCUGGCCCUCAAGCCUGUGUUUCUUUCUCCAAAGCUUCCUAACCACUGCCCUUCACUGCCCUCUUCAGGUCUGGGAUUUGAGAAAGUUUGCAGAGUGAGAUUUCCGGGGUGAGUUGGGGCGUGAGGCGGACGGAGCCCCUCUGGGUUUCCAGGUUCUGUUGGGCUGGGUUUGGUCCACGGAGGACUAUUUUGAGCUGGCUGGAGAAGGGGUAUUUGUCGUUUUGAUUUUCUGCUCUCUAGUUUCUUCCUUGAAGUGAGUUGGUUCCAGCAAGGCUGCAUCUUCUUGGGGUUUUCUAGAUGAGAGGGAAGCAGAGUACAAUUAACCCUUCCAGUGGGCAAGCUCCCUGGACUCGGGGAGGAAGGAAAGUUCCUUCUCCUGCUAACUUUGCGGGGAGAGGCAGAUGGGACAGAGUCAAGAUCAUUUCAUUUCACCCAGCGAUAAGCGCUCAAAAGACAGGAAAGCAGAAUCAGGUUGGAGGGAGGGACCACUUCGAGGGGGAUCAGGGAGGGCCUUUCUGAGGAGGCUCCUCUGAAGCGUAGCCCUGAAUGAUGGGAGAGAAACAGCUGUGGGAGAACCUGGGGCAAGGCGGUUGCAGGCAGAGGGAACAGCAGGUGUUAAGAUUUGAGGAUGAGCAAGAGCCAGCCAGCAAAAGAGGGGAGGGAGGCGGGAGAGAGGAGGGGAGGCAUCUGGAAGAAGGAACUGUAUUCCUGCCUGGAAUGUUGCUGAGCCUGUGCAAGCUUCCGCCACUGUCAGCUAUGACUUCGUCUGAGUCUGUGCCCCAGUGGUCUUCCCAGCCUGGUGGCCUGGGGGCCUACUCAGUGUCCAAGGAACGUGGUCAUUCAGUCCUGCAGAGGGUGGGGCUGUGGGGAAAGGAAGCUGCAGGUAAGGAAGGUGUCCCCCCCACCACACGGGGACUCUAGGGCUUGCUCACCAGCUGCCUUCACCCUCCCUUAGGCUUAGCGACCUGUGAGGCAAACAGCCCGGAGGGAUGCAGCCUGCCCAGCUGCUGGAGGGAAGGAGAGCACGCUUUGCUGAGAAAAUGGAAAGAUCUCAAGCCCUUCUAUGUGCUAAGUACACUGGUAAGUCUAGAAUAGAAGCCUGUCUCCCUUGCCUGCAAGCAGGUGCCUUUCAUGUCCAAAUCUCGUGUCCCAAGUAGACACAACACUCAGCAAAUGGGAUGCGAGGGCUCCUCAGUUCCCUGUAGGCUCGCGGUGCUGAGCAUCGCCCUGUCUCCGCCAUGAAGUUCCCAGCAGGGUCCCCACUGGCUCCGGACCCUGGGAUCUCACUGGGGAUCACUGCGUUCAGUUUAUUUGCAUCUCCAGUGCCUUGCACAUAGUAGGUACUCGGGCAUGGUUGAUGGAAUAGUGCUGAUGCAUGUAGGUGAUUCCCAAUAAUGCCAUUUUGAUGGAGUUUUGUAUUUACGCAUCUGAUAGAAGGAGAGACAAAAGAGGUGCAUAUUUUCCUUCUCAAGCUGGGGCACCAGGCUGUUGGGGUACAGGUGGAUUAGAGGCUGGGCCAGCUGAGUAGCCACAGAGGCUGCUAGAAUCCCUAGGAUCCUAACUGAGGUUGGUGUGAGGAGACCUUCCUUCAAAGAACAAUUGAUUGUUGCAGACUGCCUCCACAGGUGGGGGUGUCAGUGAACUGGGCGGAUGCUGAGUAGGGCAUGCAAGUGUGGGCCAGAACCGAAUUGCUCCAGAGGAUGAAACUUAGGGUCCCCUCUGCAUUGCUUCUUGGCUUGGAAGCCAGUAGAACUUCUAGCCUGCUUCCCAAGAUGGUCCUGUCUGGAAUGGGCAGUGACGUGCCUGGGGUUUUGUGCAGCCAUAGCCUGAACGUGGCAUGUCUCUCCAAGCUUGUAGAAGCCCUUUUUAGACAAGACAAGUAUCAGUAUAUUAUGGAAAAGAAU
rnacentral:lncRNA from 1 species